GAAAGGGGCCAUAUGGCCUAACAGUGACUCUGUCCCUCCUCUUGAUGCAGGAGGCAGAUGGUUCCGUGGUAGGGAAACCAUGGAGUGGGGACAUCUGUAGAUGGGAUGUCUGUUGAGAGAAGGAAAGAGUACCUGGAUUUGAAGCUUGCUUUACCACUUAGGGUUCCGCAUGUGUCUCUUAAUUCAUGAGUUUCUCUUCCUGUCUGUUACCAACAUCUAAGUGUGUAGUUUCACUUGUGUGUAUGUGUAGGUGUAUGUGUGUGGGUAUAUGUGAUUGUGAGUGUGUAUUUGUCUUUUGUUAGGCAGUAGAGUAACUAUGUUUCAUGAUUUAUAUUAUGAAUCUACUGUCACACUGUUAUAAAUUAAAAGAUUCUAUGUUGAAACCAUUGUGGUUGGCUGGCAAUUGGCCAGGACCAAUUCAUUCAUGUUUCUUGGCCAGCCCCUAAGUAAGAAAAUGAAUUUACUAGUGAUUAAACUGACCAAGAAGUUCAAUGUCAUAUCAAGGUUAUCCAUGACCAAAACCUGUAACAUCUGGUGCCAACAGCCAAGUCAUCAGAGUGCCCAGUGUUUGCUAUGGCAGGACUCUCCAUGGUCAAGAAGAAAAGGAUUAGAUAUGGUGGGACACCCAGGCACUUCUUGACUUAUUCCGCCUCUGACCAGCUUCAUUCUCUGUGGUAAGCACUUAACCUAGUCAGAAAGGAGAAGAGAAAUUAGAUGUACCAAAUAGAUGGAAGUAGCCAGUUCCUAGACACCACAUUGUAGACUACCGUGCCUCUCUCGGGUGGCUUUCUCAGGUUUAAGGACAGGACUAGGGUUGAAGAAAGAGGUUGCCCUGCCCCCCACCCCCAGGUUCCUUCUUUAUGUGAUUUGUUCAUCACUCCCAAAGUCCUCUCCUUGUCCACAGCUAGACAGAUCAAGAGGAAAAAGCACAGAGGAGCAAAUGUGAGAGGAUUUUAGGGAUGGACGCCCCUAUCGGUUUGUCUCCAUCAGAGAGGGCUGAGCCGUGUGGCCAAACCACAGUAUGGGAGAGAGGCGUGAAAUCGGUUCAGGCAGCUAAUGGUGACCACCACAGGACAAUCCCAGGACAGGGGCCAUGUCAUAAGAUGACCAAGAAUUGUUAGCCAUGGAAACAAAUCGAACAGAGAGUGGGAAUCAGGGCUUGGGGGCUGGAGACCCUGUGUGUUCUGCUCAGGGUCGGUGGGAAGGCUGUGAAAAGAGGUCUGUGGGAAGGGCAAUGGUUCCACAAAGGGAGCUGGCCAACGCAAGCCAGCAUGCUUGCCAUAAAUAUGAACACAGCCAGUGAGUGCUAUUGGCUACCCAGGGAGAGUUCCUAUCACCAACAUGAGUUUCUGUCCCCAGGAUGCACUUGUGACCACUUUAGAUGGGGCUGGUUCUUGUCCAGGAUGCAACACACAUCCUUCUGAAUACACUGCAUCUGUGCCUUUGCUUCCAUGAUUGAUCUUGUCCCAUGAGUCACCUUGACUGACCACAUGCUUCCAGCAUGGUGCUACCUGUCUCUCCACAGGCCCAAGGAGCUGAGGGGCAGGUGACGGUGGGUAGAAACUUCUGAGACUCUGAGCCAAAAUCAACCUUUUCCUUUAUGCUGGCGCUGCAAUCAAAAGCAGACUGGUGGACCCUAGGAUGGUUGCUACUGUCACAUUUGGUACAGAAAAAGACAGGAUCAUCACCAGCUGGAGAGAGGGUCCUCUGCUGCCUCAGUAGUAGGCGGCCAUGUGGUCAAGUGCCUAGGACCCAGGGAAGACAUCUGAGAGCUGGGGCUGACCCAGCUUGUCAACGGCAAGAAGCCUGGCAGUUCAGGCUCUAAGGGACAACUGCAAGGAGCUGAAUUUUGCAACUACGUGGGUUUGGAGAAGAGCUCCAUGCCUGACAUGAGACUGCAGCUUCUGCCAGGACCUUAAUUUCAGCACUGAGGGCUCAGCCAGCUUGUAUCUGGACUCCUGACCUGUGCACAUGGGAUAUAAUAAAUAUGUGUUGCUUAA